rnacentral:lncRNA from 1 species
UUGAUCUCAGGAGCUGGACACUUGGAUUACAAGCAUAUUUCUCCUUGCACACUUUCAUGGGAGGAUCAAAAUGAAUGAGCUAAAAGUUAAAACUUGUAGGAUUGAUGAUGUACAGGUCUUAACGUGAAGGUCCAUAAACUACAAAAAGUCAUCUGGGGAGAAUUAACGCAACACAACUGAGAAAAGUUAAAGAAACAACUAGUUCUCCAGCAGAAAGCAAGCCUUGGCAAGCUUUGACAUCGACAGCGAGCUGCUUAAGUCGUAAUGAAGUCAAUGGCUGAGGAGCUGCGUGAUUCUCAAUGCCUGGCCAGAGAUAUCAGGUUUUGUCAACUUUGAAACUACUCUACAAAAUUUUGACUGGAAGUUCUUAACGAGGAAAAUAAGAAGAAAUACUGGGUUUAUUAUAUCCAAAUACUCUACCACAUGACGCUACAGUAGAGUCCCACAAUUCUUGGGUUACCCUUGACUAGGAGCAACUCUUGUCUCAGCUCAUUUUCUUGGCCUAAUAUCUGCCAGGAACCCUGCCACCACAGCAGUCACUGAAUGGAGGAGGCUACCAAAGAUCAUUCUUUUUUUUUUUUUUUUUCGUUUUAUCAAAGAAGAAAUAUUAUCAAUGGAUGUGGUCAGUGGUGAAGAGGUUGACAAAGUCUGUGGUACUCUACGAACAUCCUAAAUCAGCACCACAUCCCUCACAGAUGUCCUUUUGCACAGGUGACAAAAGCACUGAAACAGACUACCCAAAUGACUGCAUCUGAGCACUCUUCAAGCUACACUUCUCUGAGUCAUCUCAGUCCCAGGGCAGGUUGCUGCCCCUCCAGGGUUUCCGACACACUCAGGAUGUGGUUGCAACACUGUGUCUUGCACAAUAAGAAACCACAGAGUCCUCAGAUGUCAGUCUUCUGAGCUCCUUAUAGGCUGCGCUGGAGGAUUUGUCUACAGUCAGUGUGGCCGUGCCCUUGAACUUUUCAUUGUAGCCAUCACUAGGAUUAAUAAUUCCAAUCCACUCAAGGCUCUUUCCAUGACUCUGCUUCACCUAGUGCAUGUUGUAGUCAGUGACUGUGUAGCCAGAAGCCUUGCAGGAUUUCUUCACUGGUCCCAAGCCUCACCAGCUCAGCCCAAGACUGCUGCAACUGGACCUGGGAAUGGACUCCUAUAGCUGUUGCCACGAAGAUGAUACAGCUCCAUCCCAUGGUGAUGUCCUGUGUACUCAGUGACUGCAGAGAGGACAGUGAUCACAUGUUUUUGUGGAGGGUAGCUAUCCCUAUAUUUACCACCAUAGACUCACAUGAUUUGCAUAUUCAUGAGCAGGGUACAUAUUAGAUAAAGACCUACUCCUCCUGGAGAAGAAGUGACACCUGAGUCAGGAAUCAGGAUGCUGAGGCCCAAGUUCUAAUCCUCUCUCAGGAAAUUCAUCCCAGAUACCAUCCCUGAGUCUUGAGCAGAGACUGUGGAUGUAACAUCACGACCUAUGCACAUAAAAGAAUUGCAGCCUAAGACAGUGCCCCCACAAGUGACACAGUUAACAGAUGUACUAUGCUUAAAGAAAGUCAAUUGAAUACAUAAAGUACGAGUCAUUUUGUGUUCCUUAAGAUUUAGAUCCAUGUAGAGAAGAUUCAAGAACAAGGACUAGCUUUACUUAUUUUUUUUUUUUAAUUUGGCAUAUCACUUCUGUCAGUUCAGCAAAUAAUAUAUUCUGGCUUUACAUUGAAUAAUUGACCAUUUUAAAACACGGUUGGAGGAUUAUUAAAAGAUGUAAAAAAUUUAGAAUAAAAGAUUACUGAUCUCUUGGUCCUACACA